UCCGGCUUAUCACCGGCAGUCUCGUAUGAGUGCCCAACAUUACUUGCUGGCAACAUACGACAAGGGUUGCGCUCGUUGCGGGACUUAACCCAACAUCUCACGACACGAGCUGACGACAGCCAUGCAGCACCUGUCACCGGUCCAACUAAAUGAAGCCCUUAUCUCUAAAGGCCGCUACCGGGAUGGCAAAAGUGGGUAAGGUUCUUCGCGUUGCUUCGAAUUAAAGAACAUGCUCCACCGCUUGUGCGGGUCCCCGUCAAUUCCUUUGAGUUUUAAUCUUGCGACCGUACUCCCCAGGCGGUGUGCUUAAGGCGUUAGCUGCGCCACCGAAACUCUAAGAGUCCCAGCAGCUAGCACACAUCGUUUAUGGCGUGGACUAC
rnacentral:misc_RNA from 1 species